AUUGAACGCUGGCGGCAGGCCUAACACAUGCAAGUCGAGCGAGCGGCGGACGGGUGAGUAAUGUAUGGGGACUGCCCGAUAGAGGGGGAUAACUACUGGAAACGGUAGCUAAUACCGCAUACUAUCGGAUAACCCAUAUGGGAUGAGCUAGUAGGUGAGGUAAUGGCUCACCUAGGCGACGAUCCCUAGCUGGUCUGAGAGGCUGAUCAGCAAAACGGGAACUGAGAAACGGCCCAGACUCCUACGGAGGCAGCAGUGGGGAAUAUGGCACAAUGGGCGAAGGCCUGAUGCAGCCAUGCGGCGUGUAUGAAGAGGGCCCUAGGGUUGUAAAGUACUUUCAGUGGGGAGGCGUUACCGACAGAAGAAGCACCGGCUAACUCCGUGCCAGCAGCCGCGGUAAUUC
rnacentral:rRNA from 1 species